CUGGAGGUAUCAGAAGUGCGAAUGCUGACAUAAGUAACGAUAAAGCGGGUGAAAAGCCCGCUCGCCGGAAGACCAAGGGUUCCUGUCCAACGUUAAUCGGGGCAGGGUGAGUCGACCCCUAAGGCGAGGCCGAAAGGCGUAGUCGAUGGGAAACGGGUUAAUAUUCCCGUACUUGGUGUUACUGCGAAGGGGGGACGGAGAAGGCUAUGUUGGCCGGGCGACGGUUGUCCCGGUUUAAGCGUGUAGGUGUGUGUUCCAGGUAAAUCCGGUUCACUUUAACACUGAGGCGUGACGACGAGGCACUACGGUGCUGAAGCAACAAAUGCCCUGCUUCCAGGAAAAGCCUCUAAGCAUCAGGUAACAUCAAAUCGUACCCCAAACCGACACAGGUGGUCAGGUAGAGAAUACCAAGGCGCUUGAGAGAACUCGGGUGAAGGAACUAGGCAAAAUGGUGCCGUAACUUCGGGAGAAGGCACGCUGACACGUAGGUGAAGUGAUUUACUCAUGGAGCUGAAGUCAGUCGAAGAUACCAGCUGGCUGCAACUGUUUAUUAAAAACACAGCACUGUGCAAACACGAAAGUGGACGUAUACGGUGUGACGCCUGCCCGGUGCCGGAAGGUUAAUUGAUGGGGUCAGCGCAAGCGAAGCUCCUGAUCGAAGCCCCGGUAAACGGCGGCCGUAACUAUAACGGUCCUAAGGUAGCGAAAUUCCUUGUCGGGUAAGUUCCGACCUGCACGAAUGGCGUAAUGAUGGCCAGGCUGUCUCCACCCGAGACUCAGUGAAAUUGAACUCGCUGUGAAGAUGCAGUGUACCCGCGGCAAGACGGAAAGACCCCGUGAACCUUUACUAUAGCUUGACACUGAACAUUGAGCCUUGAUGUGUAGGAUAGGUGGGAGGCUUUGAAGUGUGGACGCCAGUCUGCAUGGAGCCGACCUUGAAAUACCACCCUUUAAUGUUUGAUGUUCUAACGUGGACCCGUAAUCCGGGUUGCGGACAGUGUCUGGUGGGUAGUUUGACUGGGGCGGUCUCCUCCUAAAGAGUAACGGAGGAGCACGAAGGUUGGCUAAUCCUGGUCGGACAUCAGGAGGUUAGUGCAAUGGCAUAAGCCAGCUUGACUGCGAGCGUGACGGCGCGAGCAGGUGCGAAAGCAGGUCAUAGUGAUCCGGUGGUUCUGAAUGGAAGGGCCAUCGCUCAACGGAUAAAAGGUACUCCGGGGAUAACAGGCUGAUACCGCCCAAGAGUUCAUAUCGACGGCGGUGUUUGGCACCUCGAUGUCGGCUCAUCACAUCCUGGGGCUGAAGUAGGUCCCAAGGGUAUGGCUGUUCGCCAUUUAAAGUGGUACGCGAGCUGGGUUUAGAACGUCGUGAGACAGUUCGGUCCCUAUCUGCCGUGGGCGCUGGAGAACUGAGGGGGGCUGCUCCUAGUACGAGAGGACCGGAGUGGACGCAUCACUGGUGUUCGGGUUGUCAUGCCAAUGGCACUGCCCGGUAGCUAAAUGCGGAAGAGAUAAGUGCUGAAAGCAUCUAAGCACGAAACUUGCCCCGAGAUGAGUUCUCCCUGAGACUUAG
rnacentral:rRNA from 1 species